AUCCAGUUGACGAGUCCCAAAUAAGACGAAACGCAUGCCCUGGAU
rfam:Schistosoma curassoni strain Dakar, Senegal genome assembly, scaffold: SCTD_scaffold0002355